rnacentral:rRNA from 1 species
CCUGGUUGAUCCUGCCAGUAGUCAUAUGCUUGUCUCAAAGAUUAAGCCAUGCAUGUGUAAGUACGAACUAAUUCAGACUAUGAAACUGCGAAUGGCUCAUUAAAUCAGUUAUAGUUUGUUUGAUGGUAUCUACUACUUAGAUAAUUGUAGUAAUUCUAGAGCUAAUACGUGCAACAAACCCCAACUUCUGGAAGGGAUGCAUUUAUUAGAUAAAAGGUCGACGCGGGCUAUGCCCGUUGCUCUGAUGAUUCAUGACAACUCGAUGGAUCGCACGGCCUUUGUGCCGGUGAUGCAUCAUUCAAAUUUUUGCCCUAUCAACUUUCGAUGGUAGGAUAGUGGCCUACUAUGGUGGUGAUGGGUGACGGAGAAUUAGGGUUUGAUUCCAGAGAGAGAGCCUGAGAAACGGUUACCACAUCCAAGGAAGGCAGCAGGCGCGCAAAUUACCCAAUCCUGACACAAGGAGGUAGUGACAAUAAAUAACAAUACCAGGCUGCAUGAGUCUGGUAAUUGGAAUGAGUACAAUCCAAAUCCUUUUACGAGGAUCCAUUGGAGGGCAAGUCUGGUGCUAGCAAUUACGGUAAUUCUAGCUCCAAUAGCGUAUAUUUAAGUUGUUGCAGUUAAAAAGCUCAUAGUUGGAACUAGGGUUGGGUCGUCCGGUCUGCUUCACGGUGAGCACCGAUCUACUCGUCCCUAUUGUCGGUGAUGCACUCUUGGACUUAAUUGCCCAGGUCGUUCCUCUGGCACUGUUACUUUGAAAUUCUUAGAUUUAUCAAAGAUGAACAACUGCGAAAGCAUUUGCCAAGGAUAUUUUCAUUAAUCAAGAACGAAAGUUAAGGGCUCAAAGACGAUCAGAUACCGUCCUAGUCUCAACCAUAAAUGAUGUCGACCAGGGAUUGACGGAUGUUACUUUUAGGACUCCACCGACACCUUAUGAGAAAUCAAAGUCUUUAGGUUUCGGGGGGAGUAUGGUCGCAAGGCUGAAACUUAAAGGAAUUGACAGAAGGGCACCACCAGGAGUGGAGCCUGCUGCUUAAUUUGACUCAACACGGGGAAACUUAUUAGGUCCAAACAUAGUAAGGAUUGAUAGACUAAGAGCUCUUUCUUGAUUCUAUGGGUGGUGGUGCAUGGCCGUUCUUAGUUGGUAUAACGAUUUGUCUGGUUAAUUCCAUUAACGAACGAGACCUCAACCUGCUAACUAGCUACGCGGAGGUGAUCCUUCAUGGCUAGUUUCUUAAAGGGACUAUGACCGCUAAGGCUAAGAAAGUUUGAGGCAAUAAUAGGUCUGUGAUGCCCUUAGAUGUUCUGGGCCACACGCACGCUACACUGAUGUAUUCAAUGAGUCUAUAGCCUGGGCCGAUAGGGUCGGGUAAUCUUUGAAAUUUCAUCGUGAUGGGGAUAGAUCAUUGCAAUUAUUUUUCUUCAACAAGGAAUUCCUAGUAAGCGCGAGUCAUCAGCUCGCAUUGACUAUGUCCUUGCCCUUUGUACACACUGCCUGUCUCUCCUACCGAUUGAAUGGUCCGGCUAAGUGUUCAGAUCGCGGCGACGUGGAAGGUCCAUUGCCCGCGACGUCGCGAGAAGUCCACUGAACCUUAUCAUUUAGAGGAAGGAGAAGUCGUAACAAGGUUUUCCGUAGGUGAACCUGCGGAAG